rnacentral:misc_RNA from 1 species
GAUGAAGAACGUAGCGAAAUGCGAUAAGUAACGUGAAUUGCAGAAUUCAGUGAAUCAUCGAAUCUUUGAACGCACAUUGCGCCCGCCAGCAUUCUGGCGGGCAUGCCUGUUCGAGCGUCAUUUCAACCCUCGAGCCCCCCCGGGGGCCUCGGUGUUGGGGGACGGCACACCAGCCGCCCCCGAAAUGCAGUGGCGACCCCGCCGCAGCCUCCCCUGCGUAGUAGCACACACCUCGCACCGGAGCGCGGAGGCGGUCACGCCGUAAAACGCCCAACUUUCUUAGAGUUGACCUCGGAUCAGGUAGGAAUACCCGCUGAACUUAAGCAUAUCAAUAAGCGGAGGA